UUUCCGUAGGUGAACCUGCGGAAGGAUCAUUAACACUAAUUAAUGAGUCCAAACCAUUGGAUUUCAACCAACCAUUGUACGAACCUAUUCUUUACAGUUGUGAAUCAAAACAAGGAAAAAAAACCUAAACACAUUGGGGGACUUUGUUGUCCUCUUGUUUUGGGGUGUUUUUCUGCGUUUGAUUCGCAGCUAGUCCCUUGUAAACUAUUUUUCUAAACGAUUAUGAAUCUAACUGACUAAAAACAUUUUUUGAGUUGGUACCCUAACUGGGGAUCAAGUCAAAUCAUAAGAUAAACGCGAAACAACUCUUAACAACGGAUAUCUUGGCUCUC
rnacentral:misc_RNA from 1 species